rnacentral:lncRNA from 1 species
CGGAGGGCCGCUGUGGCGUCGGGCCCCUGGCCGAGCCGGGGGUGGGGGCUCGAGGCGCCUCCGCGGCCGUGGACCAGCGUCCGUGCGUCCUGUUCCGGGCCAUGUUCGUGUGAGGGCCCCGCUGCCGCCGCCGCCGCUGCCGCCCUCGUUCUGGCCCCGGCCCCAUCCCCGGCCCGGCAGCGCUGCGCACCAUGGGCUCCAUUCUCAGCCGUCGCAUCGCGGGGGUGGAGGACAUCGACAUCCAGGCGAACUCGGCCUAUCGCUACCCCCCGAAGUCCGGAAACUACUUUGCUUCGCACUUUUUCAUGGGAGGAGAGAAAUUCGACACCCCUCACCCUGAAGGUUACCUCUUUGGAGAGAACAUGGAUCUGAACUUCCUGGGCAGCCGCCCGGUCCAGUUUCCCUACGUCACUCCCGCCCCCCACGAGCCCGUGAAGACACUGCGGAGCCUGGUGAACAUCCGCAAAGACUCCCUCCGGCUGGUGAGGUACAAAGACGACACUGACAGCCCUACUGAGGAUGGCGACAAGCCCCGGGUGCUCUACAGCCUGGAGUUCACCUUUGACGCUGAUGCCCGCGUGGCCAUCACCAUCUACUGCCAGGCGUCGGAGGAGUUCCUGAACGGCAGGGCAGUAUACAGCCCCAAGGGCCCCUCGCUGCAGUCCGAGACCGUCCACUACAAGAGAGGGGUGAGCCAGCAGUUCUCCCUGCCCUCCUUCAAGAUCGACUUCUCGGAGUGGAAGGAUGACGAGCUGAACUUUGACCUGGACCGGGGCGUGUUUCCAGUGGUCAUCCAGGCUGUGGUGGAUGAAGGAGACGUGGUGGAAGUGACCGGCCACGCCCACGUGCUGUUGGCCGCCUUUGAAAAGCACAUGGACGGAAGCUUCUCUGUGAAGCCUUUAAAGCAGAAGCAAAUCGUAAGUCAUCAGAUGAAAUACGGCCUAUUUGAUUUAAAAGACACACACUCAGGCAGAUCACAAGGUCAGGAGUUCGAGACCAGCCUGGCCAACAUGGUGAAACCCUGUCUCUACUAAAAAUACAAAAAGUAGCCAGGCAUGGUGGCGGGUGCCUGUAGUCACAGCUACUCAGGAGGCUGAGGCAGGAGAAUCGCUUGAACCUAGGAGGUGGAGGUUAUAAUGAGCUGAGAUCAUGCCACUGCACUCCAGCCUUUUGAGAGAGAAACUGCCUCAAAAAAAAAAAACAAACCUUCACGUGCAGUCACUUAAAGAUAUACUCAUAGGCACUCACACACACACACAUACUCAUAUACAGACAAAUUGACUUGUAUAAGAUAUACAAAUACAUAGCCUUGUGAGAGCGAAACUGUCUCAAAAAAAACCCAGAUAUACAUAGACACAGACACACACACACAGAUUCAGACACACAUAGACACAAAUACACUUACACAUAUGCUUACACAGACACAGACACGCUGACAUACAGACAUAUACAUAGACACGCAUUCACACAUACACAUACAUAGACAACACAUACACAUACAUAGAUACACUAAUACGUAGACACAUUCACUUGCACAUGUACACAGGCACACUCAUACACACACAUAGAUACACAUAUACAUAGGUACAUAUACAUAGACAUAUACUAAUACACAGACAUAUUCACUUGCAAAUGUGUACAGGCACACUCAUACACAUACACAGAUACACAUAUACAUAGACAUGUACAUACACACAGACACUAAUACACACAUUCACUUGCACAUGUACACAGGCACACUCAUACAUACACAGAUACACAUACAUAGACAUGUACACACACAUACAUAGACACUAAUACACAGACACAUUCACUUGCACAUGUACACAGGCACACUCAUACACACAUAGAUAUACAUACAUAGACAUGUACAUACACAUACAUAGACACACAUACUAAUAGACNNNNNNNNNNNNNNNNNNNNNNNNNACAUUCACUUGCACAUGUACACAGGCACACUCAUACAUACACAUAGAUACACAUACAUAGAUGUGUACAUACACACACAUAGACACUAAUACACAUUCACUUGCACAUGUACACAGGCACACUCAUACACAUACACAUAGAUACACAUAGACAUAGACAUGUACAUACACACACACAGACAUACUAAUACAUUCACUUGCACAUGUACACAGGCACACUCAUACAUACACAUAGAUACACAUACAUAGACGUGUACAUACAGACACAUAGACACACUAAUACACAUUCACUUGCACAU